UUGUCCUUUGCGAGGCCUGGGGGCCGGCGGGGCUGCAGCGGCGGGAUGGGCCUGAGACCGGCCGCCAGGGCCGAGUGCGGACCCAGCCUGCCCAGGUGCCCAGGCUCGCGGCCCAAAGCCGCCUCGAAAACCUGCAGUUCGGAAGUAAAGGAAGACAACCACUCUGCGCCUGGAUGUUCAAGCGAGUCCCAGUCAGAAGAAACUGCAGGAUCCCAAGCGCUGGCCCAGCUCCUGCCCAGGCAGCUCCCACAGGACACCUCAGAAGAGAGCAGAAGCGUCCAGCAGGGGGAAAAGCCUGUGGCUGACUUGGAGAGCAUCCCCAGCCAGAAGAGAGUGGAACUGGACCCAGCGGUGAAAGCUGAGAGUGAAGGCAGGCUGGUCAAGCAAGCAGCUGUGAGCAAAGCAAGACCCAGACCUGGAGACCUGAUUGAGAUUUUCCGAAUUGGCUACGAGCACUGGGCCAUCUAUGUGGAGAAUGACUGCGUGGUCCAUCUGGCCCCUCCAAGCGAUGAUGCUGAGGCCGGCAGCAUCAUGUCUGUCUUCAGCAACCAGGCCGUGGUGAAAUACAGUCGGCUGGAGGACGUGCUGCACGGCUGCUCCUGGAAGGUCAACAACAAGCUGGACGGGACCUACCUGCCCCUGCCUGUGGACAAGAUCAUCCGGCGCACGAAGAAGAUGAUCAACAAGGUUGUGCAGUACAACCUGAUCGAAGGGAACUGUGAGCAUUUUGUCAACAACCUCCGAUAUGGCGUGCCCAGGAGCCAGCAGGUGGAGCAUGUCCUGAUGGAAGGAGCGAAGGCUGCAGGUGCGGUGAUCUCAGCCAUGGUGGACAGCAUGCGGCCCAAAGCAGUCACCGCCUGAGGGUGCUGAGAGCCUCAAGCGGAGGGAGAGCUACUGAUAGCGGCCAAGGCAGCAAGCCUUUUUCCCUCCCCUGGCCCUCCUCUCUUGAAAGCCUUGUUCAAGACCAUUGUGAGCUUGCAGAAGAUGCUACUAUGAGGUUUUUGCCACUCAAAGUAUUAAAAUUGCUGAUGGAUGGUGAUAAUAAAAUGGAGACCAACUC